rnacentral:rRNA from 1 species
AUACGUCGCGACGUAGUUGUACUCCGUGGCUACGAGGACGACGCUGGCGGCGUGCCUAACACAUGCAAGUCGAACGGGGUGAUUUGCUUCGGUAAAUCACUUAGUGGCGGACGGGUGAGUAACACGUGAGCAACCUGCCUUUAAGAGGGGGAUAACAUUGAGAAAUCAGUGCUAAUACCGCAUAAAGCAUAUUUACCGCAUGAUAGAUAUGCCAAAGGAGCAAUCCACUUAAAGAUGGGCUCGCGGCUGAUUAGUUAGUUGGUGGGGUAACGGCCUACCAAGACGAUGAUCAGUAGCCGGACUGAGAGGUUGAACGGCCACAUUGGGACUGAGAUACGGCCCAGACUCCUACGGGAGGCAGCAGUGGGGAAUAUUGGGCAAUGGGCGCAAGCCUGACCCAGCAACGCCGCGUGAAGGAAGAAGGCUUUCGGGUUGUAAACUUCUUUUGUCAGGGAAGAGUAGAAGACGGUACCUGGCGAAUAAGCCACGGCUAACUACGUG